UACGGGGGAGCAAGCGUUGUUCGGAUUUACUGGGCGUAAAGGGCGCGUAGGCGGCCUCCGCAAGUCGACUGUGAAAUCUCCGGGCUUAACCCGGAAAGGUCAGCCGAAACUGCGGGGCUAGAGUGCAGAAGGGGCAACUGGAAUUCUCGGUGUAGCGGUGAAAUGCGUAGAUAUCGAGAGGAACACCUGCGGCGAAGGCGGGUUGCUGGGCUGACACUGACGCUGAAGCGCGAAAGCGUGGGGAGCAAACAGG
rnacentral:rRNA from 1 species